rnacentral:rRNA from 1 species
GAUGCCAGCUAGCGAUCCGCCAAAGUUCCUCCGAUGACUUGGUGGGCAGCUUCCGGGAAACCAAAGCAUUUGGGUUCCGGGGGAAGUAUGGUUGCAAAGCUGAAACUUAAAGGAAUUGACGGAAGGGCACCACCAGGAGUGGAGCCUGCGGCUUAAUUUGACUCAACACGGGAAACCUCACCAGGCCCGGACACCGGAAGGAUUGACAGAUUGAGAGCUCUUUCUUGAUUCGGUGGGUGGUGGUGCAUGGCCGUUCUUAGUUGGUGGAGCGAUUUGUCUGGUUAAUUCCGAUAACGAACGAGACUCUAGCCUACUAAAUAGACGUACUUUAUUACCGGCAUCUCAAGGCCCAUCGGCUGUAUUGUUACUGAAUGUUAU